rnacentral:rRNA from 1 species
CAGUAGCCGCGGUAAUACGGAGGAUCCAAGCGUUAUCCGGAAUCAUUGGGUUUAAAGGGUCCGUAGGCGGUCUUGUAAGUCAGUGGUGAAAGCCCAUCGCUCAACGGUGGAACGGCCAUUGAUACUGCAGGACUUGAAUUAUUGGGAAGUAACUAGAAUAUGUAGUGUAGCGGUGAAAUGCUUAGAGAUUACAUUGAAUACCAAUUGCGAAGGCAGGUUACUACCAAUUGAUUGACGCUGAUGGACGAAAGCGUGGGUAGCGAACAGGAUUAGAUACCCCCGUAGUCCCUGUCUCUUAUAC